GAAGUUUGGCAGACAAUCGCUGGCGGCUUAAGGCCGCGAGAGGAAAGUCCGGGCUCCAUAAGGCAGGAUGCUGGAUAACGUCCAGUCAGCGCGAGCUGAAGGAUAGUGCCACAGAAAUGGACCGCCGAUGGCGCGGAUGUACUUCCGCGAUCAGGCAAGGGUGGAACCGUGGUGUAAGAGACCACGAGGAGGUAUGGCGACAUACGUCCUGGUAAACCCCAUCUGGAGCAAGACCUAAUGGAACGCAGCCGUUCUUGAACGGCAGCCCUCGCCUGGGGCGCGUUCGGGUUGGUCGCUGGAGCGGAUCAGCAAUGGUUCGCGUAGAUAGAUGAUUGUCGCUUCAAUGGUGGGAGGGUGGUACCCGUUACGACCACUGGAAGCACAGAACCCGGCUUACGGCAAACUUCUCCA
rnacentral:RNase_P_RNA from 1 species